AUGGUCACAUCACGCUAAAACUCCAGUUUCCAUACGAUCACCGAAGUUAAGCAACGUCGAAUCUGGUCAGCACCUUGAUGUAUGACUGCUUGGGAAUACCAGGUGAUGUUA